rnacentral:rRNA from 1 species
GACGAACGCUGGCGGCGUGCUUAACACAUGCAAGUGGAGCGACGAACCAGGGCUUCGGCCUGGGGCAGAGCCGCGAACGGGUGAGUAACACGUGGGUAACCUGCCUCGAUGACCGGGACAACCCGGGGAACCGGGCUAAUACCGGAUGUGCUGCCCUCGCAUCAGUGAGGGUUGGAAAGGAAGCUUCGGCCUCCGCAUCGAGAUCGGGCCCGCGGCCCAUUAGCUUGUUGGUGAGUAANGGCUCACCAAGGCUGCGAUGGGUAGCUGGUCUGAGAGGACGAUCAGCCACACUGGGACUGAGACACGGCCC